rnacentral:rRNA from 1 species
AGUCGAGCGAGUCUGCCUUGAAGAUCGGAGUGCUUGCACUCUGUGAAACAAGAUACAGGCUAGCGGCGGACGGGUGAGUAACACGUGGGUAACCUGCCCAAGAGAUCGGGAUAACACCUGGAAACAGAUGCUAAUACCGGAUAACAACAGAUGAUGCCUAUCAACUGUUUAAAAGAUGGUUCUGCUAUCACUCUUGGAUGGACCUGCGGUGCAUUAGCUAGUUGGUAGGGUAACGGCCUACCAAGGCGAUGAUGCAUAGCCGAGUUGAGAGACUGAUCGGCCACAUUGGGACUGAGACACGGCCCAAACUCCUACGGGAGGCAGCAGUAGGGAAUCUUCCACAAUGGACGCAAGUCUGAUGGAGCAACGCCGCGUGAGUGAAGAAGGGUUUCGGCUCGUAAAGCUCUGUUGUUGGUGAAGAAGGACGGGGGUAGUAACUGACCUUUGUUUGACGGUAAUCAAUUAGAAAGUCACGGCUAACUACGUGCCAGCAGCCGCGGUAAUACGUAGGUGGCAAGCGUUGUCCGGAUUUAUUGGGCGUAAAGCGAGUGCAGGCGGUUCGAUAAGUCUGAUGUGAAAGCCUUCGGCUCAACCGGAGAAUUGCAUCAGAAACUGUCGAGCCUGAGUACAGAAGAGGAGAGUGGAACUCCAUGUGU